rnacentral:rRNA from 1 species
AGCGAACGCUGGCGGCAGGCUUAACACAUGCAAGUCGAGCGGGCGUAGCAAUACGUCAGCGGCAGACGGGUGAAUAACGCGUGGGAACGUACCUUUGGUUCGGAACAACACAGGGAAACUUGUGCUAAUACCGGAUAAGCCCUUACGGGGAAAGAUUUAUCGCCGAAAGAUCGGCCCGCGUCUGAUUAGCUAGUUGGUGAGGUGACGGCUCACCAAGGCGACGAUCAGUAGCUGGUCUGAGAGGAUGAUCAGCCACAUUGGGACUGAGACACGGCCCAAACUCCUACGGGAGGCAGCAGUGGGGAAUAUUGGACAAUGGGGGCAACCCUGAUCCAGCCAUGCCGCGUGAGUGAUGAAGGCCCUAGGGUUGUAAAGAUCUUUCAGUGGGGAAGAUAAUGACGGUACCCACAGAAGAAGCCCCGGCUAACUCCGUGCCAGCAGCCGCGGUAAU